rnacentral:lncRNA from 1 species
CUCAAACUUUUCACCAAUUCUGACAUCUAAACAACUAACGCCAGAGACAGGCUCUGUGGGACCAGCAGCUGCGACCUCACCUCCGGUCACUGGAACACUGAGCUGUUAAAUGAAAGACCUCUGAAUAAGUCGUGGGAGCCCUAGGGUCCUGCAGACCACAAGGGAAGAACUACUGAUGUUCACUUCGGAGACCCGGGUUUCUGAUUGCACCCUUGCCCCAGGCCCUGUGAACUCCAGGAAAGGAUCUUCCAGGGAUACAGACAACAAGAGAACAAAAUACUUGUUUGUCUUCAAGGACUUCAGGGUCUUCAGCAUGUUCAAAACCACAGGUGCCUUCAGGGACCAAGAGGCAGAGAGAUGGGAGGAGCGGCUGGGUGGGGCCCGGGCAGAGCGGAGGACACAGGUGUGAAUUUGUGCACAGCCGCUGCUCCCUCCAGCCAGCCGUGGCCAAGUGGACAUUCGGACCCAGAGCGGCCAGAUCUUGUAAUUUCCAAGAAAGCCAGAAACCCAGAUUUUUAUAUAAAAUUUCUGAAAUGUU